CGGGAACUCCAAGUGGCGGAGUGUGUGUUCCGAUCCAUCCUGACGUCGGAGUUCUGAUCAUCCCGGCGAGAGGGCCUGUACAUCGGGCCAUCCAGCAGCGACUACAGG